rnacentral:rRNA from 1 species
CCUACGGGUGGCAGCAGUGGGGGAUAUUGCACAAUGGGGGGAACCCUGAUGCAGCGACGCCGCGUGAGGGAUGAAGGUCUUCGGAUCGUAAACCUCUGUCAGCAGGGAAGAACGGUCACUGUGCUAAUCAGCAGUGAAUUGACGGUACCUGCAAAGGAAGCACCGGCUAACUCCGUGCCAGCAGCCGCGGUAAUACGGAGGGUGCGAGCGUUAAUCGGAAUUACUGGGCGUAAGGCGCUCGUAGGCGGUAUGUCAAGUCAAGGGUGAAAUCCCCGCGCUCAACGUGGGAACUGCCUUUGAAACUGGCAAACUGGAGUGUAGGAGAGGAUAGUGGAAUUCCAGGUGUAGGAGUGAAAUCCGUAGAGAUCUGGAGGAACACCAGUGGCGAAGGCGACUAUCUGGCACAUAACUGACGCUGAGGAGCGAAAGCGUGGGUAGCAAACAGGAUUAGAUACCCUUGUAGUC